CCUACUGGUGAGCAGCAGUGGGGAAGUUUGCGCAAUGCUCGUAAGAGUGACGCAGCGAAGCCGCGUGAAUGACGAAGGCCUGCGGGGCGUAAAGUUCUUUCGACAGGGAAGAAAAUGCCUAGAAGUAACUGUGUAGGGAUUGACGGUACCUGUAUAAGCAGCCCCGGCUAACUCCGUGCCAGCAGCCGCGGUAAUACGGAGGGGGCGAGCGUUGUUAGGAGUGACUGGGCGUAACGAGCACGUAGGCGGUGUUGUAAGUCAUUAGUCAAAGACUAUCGCUCAACUUUAGUAAGGCUAGUGAUACUCUCAUACUAGAGUAUCAGUGAGGCUUGCAGAAUUCCUUGUGUAGCGGUGAACUGCGUAGAUAUCAGGAGGAAUCCCGUUCGCGAAGGCGGCACUCUGGCUGGAACCUGACGCUGAGGUGCGACAGCGUGGGUAGCAAACAGGAUUAGAUACCCGGGUAGUC
rnacentral:rRNA from 1 species